GGAGAAGCUUGUCCAUGUCCAGGUGCCUCACCACGGCUGGGCUGGGUACGGGUACGCUGACUUGGUGGGUUGCUGCGUGGGCAGAGACCAGCGGCACUCUGCCCUGUUGCCAGCGCUACUGGGAGGAUAGCCUGGUUGAAGCCUGGUUGUUGGAGGGGGAGACCGACUGUCUCCCCUUUAAAUACACCGCUCUGCUGCUGGAGACUGACUGUCUCCCCUUUAGAUGCACAGUCCUGCUGCUGGAGACCGACUGUCUCCCCUUUGGCUAAACAGCCCUGUCGCUGGGGGGCAGAACCGACCGUCCCUACCCCCUGUGCUGGCAGUGUAGAGACUACGGUCCCAUCUGCACAGUUGUGGGGCUUACUGUCUCCCC
rnacentral:lncRNA from 1 species